rnacentral:lncRNA from 1 species
CUACAUUAUACAAAAGAGUGAAGUAUCUACAAAUGCAAUUUUAGACUUGUUGUUGUACAUAGUAACACAUUGAUCAAAAAGCACAAAAUAGAUACCUACAAUUUGGUACAGUAUUUAAAUACAUACAUUAAUUUUUAUUAUUUUUUCUCUGUUUUUAAUUCCGAAACAAAAGUAGUAGAAACCAAAUCCAACCAACGAAACGCGAUUGGCGUUUUAAAAUUGAAAGCACGGUAGAAAACUUCAUAGCGUUCUUUUAAAUAGCCGCGUUUGUUGACGACGUCUGAUCGCAAACGCGAAUAAGUUGAACCCUGAGUUUACCAUUCCACAUCUCCUUAUAACAAUCACCAUCACCACCUCUCCGCCGUGCCUCCACCACCACAAGCAAAUCAUUCAACCGCGAAAUACAAAUCCCGAUACCAAAUUUCCCAUUUUGCCCCUCCAUCUCAAACCCAUACUCUUCCUCCUUCUUCUUCUUCAUCCUCAGAUUCUCCUCUCUCGCAAACCCCUCCACUUCCUCCGCCAACAUCUCCGGCGACUUUUCCGAUAAAAACCUCUCCGAUUCACCACUCGAAUUACUACAACCAGCAAACAAUCCCGACAAAUCCAAUCCCGACGAGUAAGAAAUCAAAUCAAACGCGUUUAAACUCUUCACAGCUUCUAGUGACGAUUCCACUUUCUGAUCUUCGAUCUCGUCAUCGUGGAACUUGAUCUGUUUAAAACCUCCUCUAACAAACCAAGGAUCUUUCAAAAUCUCAUCAAUGGUGAUUCUAGUCUCAGGAUUAAUAUCUAAAAGACGAGAAACGAAUCGUUUCAGAUCUGGAGACAUCCAACGAGGAAAACGAUACUCUCCUUUAUAAAUCUUCUUAUACAUAUUCAUCACAUUCGGAUCGUUAAACGGUAAAUAACCGGCGACGAGAACGAACAAGACGAUUCCACAAGACCAUACAUCAACUUUAGCACCUUCAUAUCCUUUUUUAGAUAGAAUCUCCGGCGCAACGUACGCCGGAGUACCACACAAGGUAUGUAACAACCCAUCGGGUCGGAUCUGAUCCGUUAACGCGCUUAGACCGAAAUCGGAAACUUUUAAGUUUCCGUUUUCGUCUAUUAAUAGAUUCUCUGGUUUGAGAUCGCGGUGGUAAACACCGCGAGCGUGGCAAUAACCAACGGCGGAGAUCAGUUGCUGGAAAUAUCUCCGGCUUAAAUCUUCGCUAAGACGUCCAUGUUUUGAGAUUUUGUUGAAUAGUUCUCCUCCUUUAACAAACUCCAUUGCGAAGAAGAUCUUUGAUUUUGUCGCCAUUACUUCGUGGAGCUUGACGAUGUUUGGAUGAGAUAAUCUUCUCAUGAUUGAGAUCUCGCGUUUGAUGUUGUUGGCUAGAGCUGGAUUUGUGAGGAGUUUUUUCUUGUUGAGGAUUUUCACGGCGACGCUUUGGCCGGUACGACGAUCACGUGCGUGGAAGACUUUGGCGAAUGCGCCGCAUCCGAGAAGCUUUCCGAGCUCAUAUUUACCGAAUAAGGCGUCGUUGUUGUCGCCGCUGCCGGCGGCAAUCUCGAUCUCUGGCAUGAUUGAUGAAUCCAGAGAUUGAUUGAUGAAUAAGAAAACUUCGCCGGAGAAUUUGAAUCUGUUUCGUUUGCGCGUAAUGCAGAUGUGAUGAACACGUAAGCUAAUUCUUCUUCUCUUUUUUUUUUUUUGGUUUUGUUGUGAAUUUACUUUUUAUGGAAUAAGAAAUUUGAAAGAAAGUGGUUUAGGUAUUUAAAUGGUGGAGAAGUGAUGGCGUAACGCGGAAGCUUUUAAAAAGAUAAGUUCGAUAGAAUAAUAAUGGAUUAAGGGUAUAAAGGAAUUAGAGUUGCCUAAAAAAGGAGUUUAACUGAAGCACUAUUAUAUGUAACCGUUACAGAAUUUGUUUGUUGUCAAUUAAAAAAAUAAAAUGUUAAAGUUUUUUUAACCCAAAUUUUAUAUAUGUGAAGCAGUGAAGGUUUACUGUUAUAAUUAACUGACACAACUACCUGAGCACACAAUCCAUCUAUUCAACACAUGAAGCCAAAUUUAGCCGAUAAUGUAAUUGAUAGUCUUCACAUAAAGCAACUGUUCUUGAGUCGAUGCAUAUGUAUAUCUAGUUCCUUAAAUCAUAUAGUUUUUUCAUUUUGUACAAUCGAUCUACAGACUACAGUGUACACCUAAUUAUUACGUGGUUUUUGUACUCACUCAAUUAUUAUGUUGUCGAUAGUUUCUACUUUAUUUCCUCUGCCUACGUGUCAUGAUCUUAUCACUUAACUUACUCUGAUCAUAACUCUUCUCGUACUUUUUACAUCUAAAACUAUUCAGA